rnacentral:rRNA from 1 species
GACGUAGGUGGCGAACGUUAUCCGGAAUUAUUGGGCGUAAAGGGUGCGUAGGUGGCCUGGCAAGUUAUUAGUGGUAAAUUGAGGCUCAACCUCGUGGAAACUAGUAAUACUGUUCGGCUUGAGUGCAGGAGAGGUUAACGGAACUCUAUGUGGAGGGGUAAAAUCCAUAGAUAUAUGGAUGAACAUCAAUAACGGCGAAGGCAGUUAACUAUUCUGUUACUGACACUGAGGCACGAAAGCGUGGGGAGCAAAACGG